rnacentral:rRNA from 1 species
UUGGAGGGCAAGUCUGGUGCCAGCAGCCGCGGUAAUUCCAGCUCCAAUAGCGUAUAUUAAAGUUGUUGCGGUUAAAAAGCUCGUAGUUGAAUUUCGGGAUUGACGUGAUGGUCAUACCUUAAGGGGUAUGAACUGUCGCUGUUGAUUUCUCACCUUCUGGAGAAACUUGAUGUCCUUAAUUGGGUGUCUUGCGGAUCCAGGACCUUUACCUUGAAAAAAUUAGAGUGUUUAAAGCAGGCAUUUUUGCUCGAAUACAUUAGCAUGGAAUAAUAGAAUAGGACGGCAUGGUUCUAUUUUGUUGGUUUCUAGGAUCACCGUAAUGAUUAAUAGGGAUAGUUGGGGGCAUUAGUAUUCAACUGUCAGAGGUGAAAUUCUUGGAUUUAUUGAAGACUAACUACUGCGAAAGCAUUUGCCAAGGAUGUUUUCAUUAAUCAAGAACGAAAGUUAGGGGAUCGAAGACGAUCAGGUACCGUCGUAGUCUUAACCAUAAACUAUGCCGACUAGGAAUCAGACGAUGUUAAUUUUUUAAUGACUCGUUUGGCACCUUACGGGAAACCAAAGUGUUUGGGUUC